UGCAGCCUUGUCAAAUUCAGUGCUUCCUCCUCUGUUGAUGCCACUGGCCAAAACAGCUGCCACAGUUAUCCCUUUCCCACCAAACCGGAUCCUA